GUUCCAUACACGAGUUGCCGGAACAGAGACAAACUAAGGGCUCAGCUCUAGGGAGGCCUUUCGGCCAUCGUGAUUGUUACGAGGCAAGACAGAAUCCAAGAAGGAAUAUUCUAAUGCCUGGAGAGAAAAAUCCAUCACAAAGGAAGAGCAGUCUGCCUGUUAUAUACUGCAUUUUAUUCUUCUUGAUGAAACAGUGGAUGAAAACUUGCAAAACAGACUGAGUGAAAUAAGCCAGAGUGUUACCAAAGCAUCAGUUCUCACAAAGGUUUGCUUAGAUGCUGCCCUCAGGAUGACUGCUAAUAACACACUUCCAUCUCAGAGACUGCUUUCCCGGGAAUCCAACCUACAAAAGUGAUCUUUCUGAAGUAGAAUACAUCUCUUUCUUGAAAUGUUCUUAACAUAG